rnacentral:SRP_RNA from 1 species
AGCUGUAAUGGCUCAACGGAAGAAAUGUCCCCAAUCUUUCCGCCCACCCCUGCUGUUGGCAACAACCCAACCAUCGGUGCCCGGUUCGAAUCCCGUGGUGGCCACCCACUCGUGUAGGUAACUCAUGAUUGCUGCGCGUGGCCUUGAGACUGCUUGGAUACCGCUUCAGCCGAGCAAUCGGGCAGAGCGACCGAGCCCAUGGGAUGGCGAGUCCGGACUACAUUGAUGUUGUUGGUGGGGUGUUUGGGAGGAGUUAUGAGGAUGUGACUUUCUUU